GCGUUUUUAGUAUAAGAAAGUACACUUACCUUCCAAGUAAAAAGUUUAAUAAUUAAAAAACACA
rnacentral:tRNA from 2 species